AACUGAUUCAAUAUAAAAAGAAUAUCUUAUAAACAUAUUUAUUUCUGAAAUGUAUCAUUCUUAAAAAAUCGACAGUGAAAUAUUUCGUAAGAGUAAAUAUUGCAUAUUCUUAUUUUUCUUUUUUGUCUUUUAUUACGAAAAUUUGUUUGUAAAUGUUUUAUUUACAAUGCUAGGGAGUUUUCCCGAUUCUUAAUUUAUCGAUGUCUUUCUAUAAUGUUCAUCAUACGAUAAAAUAAUCAACAAACACAGUUUCUCUCUGCGAGCAGGAUACGUAAAUUCCAUUAACGACCGCAUUCCCCGUAUUCCACGGGAUCGGCCAGCAUCGGAUAUAAGCGCACGCCAAUUCCGCGUGCGUCAUACGGUGACAUCAUUCUUAUUUGGCACGUAUUUACGUACACGUACACAUUCUCACGCUCGAAUACGCACACGUAAACGGUAUAUUGCAAUCUAUAUAUUCGUGAUCUGUAUACUCGAGUAUGCUAUCUGUGAUUAAAAGCGGAUCACGUUCGCUUAUGCUUCCUUAAGAUCAGCUGACUGUCAUAAACUCCAUUCAAGAAUGAAAUGCAGUUUAUAAAAAUGAACGAUUUCAAAAGAACUUGACAAUUUAUUUGUCGAUAAUUUGUCAAAUUAUUUACAUAUUGAUUUGUGCAAGUUGCAGGAACUUAUUUUUCUAUAUUGGAGUAAUCAGGAAUUUAAAAGAAUUAUAUUUUGUCGUGUUUAACACUGAAUGAACAACAAGACUGGCUGGAUGUAAGGAAGUCUUGUGUCCUGAAUUAACUUUUCUUUAUUAAAAAAAGAAGAAAAAAUAAGUCAAGAUUGUUUUGCAAACAAUCGGGAAAUUUUUGACGCUAACGUUUAUUUGAUUUGGACAAUAAACCGGCAUUAAUGACAUGUGAA